rnacentral:piRNA from 1 species
GGGUUGACUGCAACUUGGUCAGA